CCUACGGGAGGCAGCAGUGGGGAAUAUUGGACAAUGGGCGGAAGCCUGAUCCAGCAAUGCCGCGUGAGUGAUGAAGGCCUUAGGGUUGUAAAGCUCUUUUACCAGGGAUGAUAAUGACAGUACCUGGAGAAUAAGCUCCGGCUAACUCCGUGCCAGCAGCCGCGGUAAUACGGAGGGAGCUAGCGUUGUUCGGAAUUACUGGGCGUAAAGCGUACGUAGGCGGUUAUUCAAGUCAGAGGUGAAAGCCUGGAGCUCAACUCCAGAACUGCCUUUGAAACUAGAUAGCUAGAAUCACGGAGAGGUUAGUGGAAUUCCGAGUGUAGAGGUGAAAUUCGUAGAUAUUCGGAAGAACACCAGUGGCGAAGGCGACUAACUGGACGUGUAUUGACGCUGAGGUACGAAAGCGUGGGGAGCAAACAGGAUUAGAUACCCUGGUAGUCCACGCCGUAAACGAUGAUAACUAGCUGUUCGGUCUCUACGAGACUGAGUGGCGCNGCUACGACAUUAAGUUAUCCGUCCGUGGGAGGUACGGUCGCGAGAAUUAAACUACAAGAAGUUAGACGGCGUGAGACGUGCCGAACGGACGACGACGAGGGAGAGG
rnacentral:rRNA from 1 species